GACAGAGGGUGCAAACGUUGUUCGGAAUUACUGGGCGUAAAGCGCGCGCAGGCGGCUAUCCAAGUCAGUGGUGAAAGCCCGGAGCUCAACUCCGGAACUGCCAUUGAAACUGUUUAGCUUGAGGAUGAGAGAGGUGAGUGGAAUUCCCAGUGUAGAGGUGAAAUUCGUAGAUAUUAGGAAGAACACCAGUGGCGAAGGCGGCUCACUGGCCCGGUACUGACGCUGAGGCGCGAAAGCGUGGGGAGCAAACAGG
rnacentral:rRNA from 1 species